rnacentral:lncRNA from 1 species
UUUAGACUUAUCACUUUCGCCAGUCUUCUUUUUCUCCCCCCACUUUUUUUUUUUCAUUUUGCCACAUCAUGCGACUCGGGGCGACCGACGUCACUUCCGUGGGCGCUUUAGGUCCCACCCACGUACUUCCAGGUGCACGUGAUACUGAUGGGGAAGGGUCGGCUGAUUGCUGCCAGAAUGGAGAGCUCGUUUUAAGGAAAUGCGGCGUCUCCUGGGAGUGAAGAGGCUUUUGGGCCACCUUGAGGCAUGACGGGUGCCGCUUCCUUUCCCUGCGACCGCUGCCUGUUUCGACUGAGCCCCUUACAGGAGGACGUGGCGGGGGCAGACGGGCGCAGCCUCCCGCCCUCUCCGUGACUCAGGGAAACGGCCUCGCCGCAGAGCGCUCCCUCGGCAGCUGGCUGCAGCACUCCUCCCCCGCCGGGCUUCAGAGUGGGUGGUUUCCUACAGCCUAGGGAGGGGGCCUGAAACGGGGUUUAAAAUCUUCCCUGCCCUCACACAAGCCCUUCUGACUGUUGGAGAACCUGACGCGCGGAUUCUAACUAGAACUGGCACUCUCUUCGGGUGUUAGAUAAUUAACUCAAAGGACAGCGAAGGCCUUUUAUGAUGUCUCUCAAGCUGGCCUUAUGACAGCCUUUCUUAACGUUUCUGCGGACAUUUUGGCGGACUUGUGUCGGCCUAGCUCAGUGAUCAGUUUCGUUAAAGAAUUUGAGUAUCCGAACAUUAAAGGAUUGGACCUAAAUUCUAGCAGGAGGAUUUUUAGCCACAUCAAAUAAUUUACGUCUCAAAGAUUUAGAUAAUUAGGGUAAGGAUGCUUAGUAAAACCUGAAGGUUCCAUCGCGCCACUGCACUCCAACCUGGGCGACAGAGCGAGACUCCGUCUCAAAAAAAAAAAAAAAAACCCAAAAAACCUGAAGGUUCCUGGAGGAAAGAGAUGAACUAUUAGCCGUGUAUUUCGGUGGGACCACCUCAACAUAGGUUCCUGUAGGUUAGCAAUGUAGAAAUGUAGCGCUUCAAAGCCGGAGCAUCCUGUCUUCAAAGAGCAUGAAGGUAUCAACGGCAUUCAUUGUCGAUUAAUAAUAACCUUCCUGGUACUUUCUUGCUAAAGGAUAAGCCAUAAUAAUAUUUCAUAAUCGCACCAAUACAAUAAAGGAUGAAAGACGUUA